GAGAAAGCAGAAUGUUACAAGAGGUGUGUUAAGUGGUGACGGUUGGAGAUGAAAUUAGCAGCAGAGGGAGCCAUUUACUGGCUCCAUGCCGCACCGUUCAAGGUCACUGCAACAUGGCAAAAGUUUGAAAGGAAUAUGAGGGCUUAAUGAUGAGUCAGCACUUCCCUGCACCUCUGUCACUGAUAGCAGCACAGUGGUCAACUGGUUAGCCUGUUUGCCUUACUGUUCUGAGGACCUGGGUUUAAAUCCAGCCUCAUGGAGGGGAGUUUGCAUGGUCUCCCUGUGCCUGAGUUGCCUUCCUUCGGGUACUCCGAUU